GACCCUGCGCUCUGCCCCGAGGGACCCACCAGCCAGGAUGCAGCAGAAGCGACGCUGUGUGACUUCCGAGGCUGAGGCUGCAGAGAUUUGAGGCAUCUGCUCUCACCCAGCUUGAAGUGCUUCCUCUUGGAAGCCAGCCACCGUGAAAAACCCCGCCAUGCUGUGAGGAAGCCCAAGAGAGCUGCAUGGAGAGAAGGGCCUGUGGAAGAGCCCUGAGGUGCCACUCACAUGAAGUGAACCUUUGUGGACCUUCCAGCCCAGCUACCAGCAAAACGCAAGCAGCGAGUGUCCCCAGUCAACGCUUCUCUCUAUAGGAGACCUGUAAAUGGGGUGGCGGGGGGAGCAGGAGGAAUUUUCUGAUCUCACACACUGUUAUGAGUUGAAUUGUCUCCCCACCCAAAUUCAUAUGUUGAAGCCCCCACCUUCAGUACUUUACAAAGUAAUGUAUUUGGAGAUAAU
ensembl:lncRNA novel transcript